rnacentral:rRNA from 1 species
CCUACGGGAGGCAGCAGUGGGGAAUUUUGGACAAUGGGCGGAAAGCCUGAUCCAGCAAUGCCGCGUGCAUGAUGAAGGUCUUCGGGUUGUAAACUGCUUUUGUUCGGAACGAAAAAGCUUCUCCUAAUACGAGAAGCGCAUGACGGUACCGUAAGAAUAAGCACCGGCUAACUACGUGCCAGCAGCCGCGGUAAU